CAAUCUGGCUAUAAUAUGUUACCUCAUUGAUUGCCAGUGGUGAUUCAGCUGAUCUGUCUGGCUAGGCAGGUAUCUCCUUCCU
rnacentral:snRNA from 1 species